rnacentral:rRNA from 1 species
UAGUUGAUCUGGCUCAGGAUGAACGCUAGCGAUAGGCUUAACACAUGCAAGUCGAGGGGCAGCACGGUGUAGCAAUACACUGGUGGCGACCGGCGUACGGGUGCGUAACACGUAUGACAACCUACCCGCUAUUGGGGGAUAACCCGGCGAAAGUCGGACUAAUACCCCAUAUUAUUCUUACCGGGCAUCCGGUAGGUCUGAAAGAUUUAUCGAUUGCGGAUGGGCAUGCGGAUGAUUAGCUAGUAGGUGGGGUAACGGCUCACCUAGGCGACGAUCAUUAGGGGUUCUGAGAGGAAGGUCCCCCCACACUGGAACUGAGACACGGUCCAGACUCCUACGGGAGGCAGCAGUGAGGAAUAUUGGUCAAUGGGCGCUAGCCUGAACCAGCCAAGUCGCGUGAAGGAUGAACCAGAUCUAUGGUUUGUAAACUUCUUUUGCAGGGGGAGUAAAGUGCGACACGUGUGUUGUAUUGCAAGUACCCUGCGAAUAAGCAUCGGCUAACUCCGUGCCAGCCGCGGC